ACACAUGAAACAAAAGCAGGGACUGUAACAGAGGUUCGUACACCCAUGUUCAUAGCAGCAUUAUUCACAAUAGCCAAAAAGUGGCAGCAACCUAAGAGACCCCGAUGGGCAAAAGGAGAAACAAGAUAUGACACAUUAGAUGGAACAUUAUUUAGUCUUAAAAAGGAGGGAAAUUCUGAUGCGUGUGCACCACGGCUGAAACUUGAGGACAUUAUGCUAAGUGAAAUAAGCGAGUUACAGAGGACAGACUUUGUAUGACUCCACUUAUAUGAGGCGUCUAGAGUAGUUAAAUCCACAGAGGUGAACAAUAAAAGGAUGAUUACCAUGAACUGCUGGGGUGAACAAGAGCAAUUAGUGCUUAAUGGGGACAAAGCUUCAGCUGGUGGAGAUAAAAAAUUGUGAGCUUGGAUAGUGGUGGCCGUUGCACUAAUGCCAAGGAGCUGUACACUUAAAAAGGCUAAGAUGGUAAUUUUAUGUUAUAUAUAUUUUAUCACAAUAAAAACAUAAAAAUCACUGUAAGAACACAUUUAAUACCUAGUCUUGAGCUGAGGGAAAAAUAUUUCCAUAAGCAGUACAAGACUUGUCUUUUGCCCACGAGGAGCUCAGGAAGUUCCUGUAAAAGCCCCAUGUCAUAAAUGCUAAAGAUAAUACACUGACCUCAUGCAUGUCACAAUCAUUUGUUGAGUUCUAAAUGCAGGGUAGUAUUUGGUUCCGAGGGAACUUUAAUCCUGUGGGAGAAGAGAGACAAUGAGUAAAAUAAGUAAACUAGAGUAUGUUUGGAGGUGAUUAGAAUGAUAAAUGAAAGAAGAAAAGUGAUGCUGGAAAAGAGAGUAGAUAGUGCUGUUGGCUGGGGGCAGGGAAGGUCUAGUUCUAAAUAAGAUAGCAAGGAAAAGUUUUACUUAGCAGGUGGCACUUGAGCAAAGACCUGAAGAGUUGAGAAAGAAAGACAUGGAAAAUCUGGGGGAAAGAUGUUUUAAACAAAUGUGCUCCGAUAGGCCUGGAGGGUAGAAGCAGCCGUGAGUGCAUGGUGAAUGUGCGGUGAGGACGGGGAGAGAGGAGACAAAGUGUGCUGUGAGCAGGGUGAGAGACAAUCGCAUGGUCUUUGGCCUUUUGUUCCGUAUGAGAAGGAAAGCAGCUACUGGACUGGAGGGUUUUAAGAAAGUGGUGUGACCUGAUUUCUGUUUUAAUAGGGCCCUUCUGGCUGUCAGAUUGAAAGUAAACUCUAGGUGGGUGUAUUGGUUUUCCAUUGGCGCUGUAAGCUGCUGCGGCUGCUGUUUCUUCAGUUGUGUCUGACUCUGUGCGACCCCAUAGAUGGCAGCGCACCAGGCUCUGCCGUCCCUGGGAUUUUCCAGUAUUCUGGCCUGGAGAAUUCCAUGGACUGUAUAGUCCAUGAGGUCACAGAGUUCUACAUGACUGAGCGACUUCACUCUCUCUUUGGGGACUCUGGGGGAUAAUCUAUUUCUUUGCCUUUUCUAGUUACUGGAGGCUGUCUGUAUUCCUUGGCUCCUUCCUUCAUUUUUAAAUCUUUCUCAUUUCUUUC
ensembl:lncRNA